AUGGCAGACAGCGACGGCGCGAGCGAGAGCUGCUGGCCGCUCGGGGACGCCGCCGCCGUCUCCGGCCACGGCGGCGGCAGCGGUGCGCGCGCGGUGCAGCUGUCCGGCGUGAGGAGGGAGGUCUACGACCGCCUGCGGGCCAUCGGCAACCAGGAGGCACUCUCCGACCCCUUCUUCGACCGCGUGCUCGAGGACCACUACGAUCGCUUCCCGUCCAGCUACUACAUCGAUCUCGACGUGAACAAGGUCGAGGACGUGAUGCUGCACCGGAGGAUCCUCGCCGAGUGCGCCGACCCCGACAACCGCCCCAUCUUCCACGCACGCUUCCUACGGCACCUUCAGGAGGACAAACCGCCAGAGGUUGGGUCUGCUCCGAGGGAUACAGAAAUUCACCUUCUUCAUGAAAUAAUUUUUUCUUCAGUUGACAAGCCAAAGCUCCUUAGUCAGCUAUCUACGUUGCUGUGCGAUCUUGGAUUGCACAUUCGUGAAGCUCAUGUGUUCUCAACAACAGAUGGACUGUGUUUGGGCAUAUUUGUUGUUGAUGGCUGGGAAACAGAGGAGACAGAUGGUUUGUUGCAGCAGCUCAAGGAGACAGCAAAACGUAAUGCCACAUUAUCUAAUCUAACAACUUCAGCCUCAGAGAGAAUACUAGAGCUGCAAGAAAAGAUUGGAGAUUCUGAAUUCGACAGGGAUCUGUUGCAGAUUAAGGAAAAUAUCGCAUCUGGAUCUUCUGGAGACUUAUAUCGAGGAACUUACCUUGAUGUGGAUGUUGCAAUAAAGUACCUUAAAACUGGACAUGCUAACGAUGAUUCAAAAGUGGAGUUUUUGCAACAAAUAAUGAUUUUAAGGAGUGUUAAUCAUGAAAAUGUCAUUCACUUUUACGGGGCAUGCACAAAGCAUCGAGACUAUCUCAUUGUAACAGAGUACAUGGCCGGAGGCAAUCUGUAUGAUUUCCUUCACAAGCAAAACAAUAGCUUGGACCUUUCCUUGAUUCUUAGGAUUGCUAUUGACAUCUCGAAAGGGAUGGAUUAUUUGCACCAGAAUAACAUCAUCCAUAGAGACUUGAAGUCUGCCAAUUUAUUAGUUGGCGAUGGUCAAGUUGUGAAGAUUGCAGAUUUUGCUGUCGCUCGUGAACUAUCACAAGAGGGAGAUAUGACUGCUGAAACUGGCACCUACAGAUGGAUGGCACCUGAGGUGAUAAACCAUAAGCCUUAUGAUCACAAGGCAGAUGUCUUCAGCUUUGCUAUUGUUCUAUGGGAGUUGGUCACUUCAAAGAUCCCAUAUGAAAACCUGACACCAUUGCAAGCGGCACUGUCAGUAAGGCAGGGACUUCGCUUGGUGAUUCCCUCGAGCGUGCAUCCGAGAUUGUCUAAAUUGAUUCAAUGGUGUUGGGGUGAAAACCCCCAUACGCGACCCGUUUUCUCUGAGAUCACCGCAGAACUGGAAGAUAUCUUGCUGACUUUUCAGGUCGCCUCCCGCUCCAAAGGAAGCCAUCGACAUAUCAAACAAAAGAUACAGAUGAAAUCACAGCGAUAG
rnacentral:rRNA from 1 species